rnacentral:rRNA from 1 species
UACGAAGGGGGCUAGCGUUGCUCGGAAUCACUGGGCGUAAAGCGCACGUAGGCGGACUCUUAAGUCGGUGGUGAAAUCCUGGAGCUCAACUCCAGAACUGCCUUCGAUACUGGGAGUCUCGAGUCCGGGAGAGGUGAGUGGAACUGCGAGUGUAGAGGUGAGAUUCGUAGAUAUUCGCAAGAACACCAGUGGCGAAGGCGGCUCACUGGCCCGGUACUGACGCUGAGGUGCGAAAGCGUGGGGAGCAAACAGG